UUUGCGACAGGAUCUCUCACUGAGCCUGGAGCAGCCUAGCCAAUGAAUUCCAGUGAUCUGCCAGUCUCUUCCUCCCCACUGCUGGGUUCCGGCGAUGCCUGCCUGCUUCUGGUGUGUCAGAUGAGAGCGACACUGUGCUCAGGCAAAACUCCCAUUUAGGUCCAGUGUCUCUCAUUAAGUUUUCUGUGAUUUUUCCAGAGCUGAGGUUCAUGGACCAAUGCCUACUUACCUGGCUGGCUAAGAUUAAAAUGAGUAAUAGAUCCUUUGUGCCUGCAGGACGGCUCCUAAUGCAUUUUUCAUUAAGCUGAACUCCCACUCGGGGCCUCUUCCUGAGGUUCAGACAGAGGUAAUGAAGAAAGAGGAAGAAAAAAAAGAGGAUAAAUGGACAACAGAUGGACAGACAGACAGGUGGAUGACAUACAGGAAAGAAAGAGGGAGUUGGCCGUCUACUACUCCUGUUGAUGAAGGGAUGCAUUGUAGUGUUCUGAGUGGGUGCUCUGUGAAGAGGGAAAGGACUGAGCUACAGAGGAAGGUGUGUCUCUGUUGAACUGGACCAACUUCACACACCUGUCUGAAAACACAAUAAGCUACUUCAAAAAAAAACUUGAUUUUUAAAAAAAGUAUAUAAAUGAAAAGAAAGAAGCUGCUAGCUUCUUCUCCCGUCAUCUCCAAGUCAUUUUGAUGAAUAAGAAGAAAGCUGGAGGGAUAUGCAAAACAGGGGCAAUAGUUUAAGACCAAAUUCUGAAUCAUCGCAUCCUUUAUGGGCAGCCAUGAAUAUGCAGUGUUCGUGGGAAUCGUCUCCACAUGCUUUCCAGACAGUAAAAAGAAAAUAGAAAUACAUAAAGAAUUUUAUACAUCUUAAUAACCUUACUUCUGCAAAGAAAAAGGAAAACUGAACUCUCAAAAAAAAAAAAAAACCACAAGCUCCACUGGCAAAAAGUACCUGAAACUGUGGAGUUGGUGGAGGUGGUGUUUGUUUUUAAAACAGUGUUCAGCCUGUCUUCUCAGUGGAGAGUGUAGUCAGAGGCUUAUGGGAACAGCCUUCAGCCAAUAUGGAAGCUGGUGCAUAGAUUCCAGGUGAUGGGUAUUUAUUUUCAGUGGCUUGUGACCCAAGAAGCCACAGAACAUGGGAGUGACAUAUUUCACUUCCCAUACUCCACAACCCACUCCUCUCAUCUUUCAACUACAGUUAUUGGGAACACACAAGUCAUUGAUUGUGAUGAUAAUGAAAAAAGAAAACCACAGGCAAAAGAGGCCAUGUAAUAUGAAGAAAAUAAUCUUCUCCUUCCAAUGGGAUGUCCUUCCUAUAGAAUAUCCAGGGGAGGAAGUUUCCUCUUUUCUUGCUCUAACACAAACAACACCCUCUGCCCAUCCAUUCCAAGCUUAGGCUGGUGAAAUUCUAACCUCCAGUGUGAUGGGAGAAAGAGGCAAAGCUUCUAACGAGUUAAGUAUGUCAUAAAGACAGGGAACUGACAAAUGGAAUUAACAGCUUUAUGAAAAAGAGAUUGUAGUCCCUACUAUGUGGACCUACAUUGAGAAGAUCAUCAAGGACCAGCUAGGAAGCAGACCUCGCAAGACACAGACUCGUCCAGAAUCUUGACUUUAGACACCCCAGCCUCUAGUACUGGGUGAAACAAAUUUUGUUUAUUUGAGCUACUCCACAGUACUUUCUUAGAGUUAACCAAACUAAAACAUUUAUGCAACAUCAGCUCCAAUCUUACUUGACUCUCCAGUUUGCACAGCAGGAUGGAAAUGAUUUACUUGAGCCUCUUCUUCCUCUUCACGUGUGACCUCUUCCUCUGAAUGUGGUGAGACUUUAAUGGCCAAGGAGUUGAGUGAUUAACGUUGGAGGGAGUUGCCUGUGUUAAUCUCUUGUGCAUAGCUGAAGAAAUGGGUAUUUAUCUGCUAAACUUUUCCAGAUUUAGCCUUUACAUUCUUCCGACAACCAGAUACCAGGAGGCAAUUUCUCCACUUACGAGGUAAUUGUGAAGUAUAGCUGAGAGAGGAAGGGUGUGACAGAGAAGUGGCACCAUGAACAGAUAAAAUAUAUGGAUGGACAUUGAAGAAAUUAAUUCUGCUACAGAAAUUAAACUUGGUUGACUUCCCUGAGUCUACAAUGUUUGUCUUUUGAAAACAAGUCCAUUCGUCAGCAUCAUUCCUUGACACUUCAGUCUGUGGUUAAACUCUUCUCUUCUAAGAACAAUAGAAGAUCUGAGAAACAGUGUUUAAAGCAGCAUCUCCGAUUUGGCAGUUAACAAGGUUGUAUCUGACAUGUAUGCACAAUGACAAGCAGGAACCAACAGUCUGUGAGGAAAUGGUUGAUAACUGGUCUGGGACAUGGAAAAUAAAGUUGAGUCUUGACCAUUCUGUCCAAUCAACAAAGGGCCUAUUCAAAGGUUGAUGGAGACCUGGUACUGUGAGGCGGAAGAUACCUGGAAAACAUGAGCAUCUUUCAGUGCAAAACUAAAUUAUAAUGAUAUACCAUCCAACAUAAUAUAAAACAGGAAACCAUGAGUAAGGAAAACAGAAGAAAAAAACCAGUAAAAUUUUUGCACAAAAAUUCCAAGGAGAUAUCUGGCCUUAGGACUAAAAUGGACAGAGGGAAUCAUCUCCUCCAACUGCCAAGGAAUGAAGCAAACUCCAAAAAUGUCACCCACCCCCCCACAUGAAGUCUACUGGCUCAAGAAAGAAUAGGGUAAAACGAUAACCUAAUUACAGGUGUACAAAUACUGGAGCCCUGCUGAGGCAGAGUGGGGAAAAAAAUCAUGGACAAAAAUGCUCAUUAAAGACUGAUUAUCAAAUUAGAAUCCAUGAAAACCUUUGCUCUAACCUUGCUUAUUUCGAGGGAGUACAAGGGUUUGUGAGCACUGGCUUCAACCCAGAUGUAGAAGACGAUGCUGCCUCUUCCUGGCUCCUCUCUCUGGUUUAGAACUAACCAACGCCCUGGCUUCAUAUGUUUCUUUAUUGAGCCCCUUGGUCAAAAAGAGAAAAA
rnacentral:lncRNA from 1 species